CCGUCUCAAUUUGCUGGGGACAAAUAAAGUGGAUAUGGCUAUCAAUGGCCCCCGCCGUCAGAAUCUGGCCCUCGCCAGCAAUCACCUCCGUCCCGGGACCAAUGAUAAUAUCCACGUUGUCCUGGAUAUAGGGGUUGCCGGCUUUACCGAUUUUGGCGAUUCUGCCGUUAACAAUGCCAAUAUCGGCCUUCACAAUGCCCCACCAAUCCAAAAUCAAGGCAUUGGUAAUCACCAGAUCCACGGCUCCCUCACCAUUGGCAAUGGGGGAUUGGCCCAUGCCAUCCCGG
rnacentral:sRNA from 1 species